rnacentral:lncRNA from 1 species
GUGGCAUAUGGAGGUUCCCAGGCUAGGGGUUCAAUCGGAGCCACAGCCACAGCCACACCAGAUCCGAGCCGUGUCUGCAACCUCCACCACAGCUCAUGGCAAUGCCGGAUCCUUAACCCACUGAGCAAGGCCAGGGAUGGAACCUGCACCCUCAUGGUUCCUACAUGGAUUCGUUAACCUCUGAGCUAUGAGGGGAACUCCUACCUCAGGACAUUUAUACUCUUUCCUGACAGUUCACCUGAUAGGCUUUGCCUAAAACUUCCAAUUCUCAGCCUAAAACUCACCUCCUUAAGGAUGCCUUCCUUCCUGCCCACCCUCUCAAAGCCCGCUCUCUCUGCACUUAAUCCCAAUAUGGAGUUUCUUUUGUUUAUCGUAUGUCUCCCUGGUUUCCCCAAGUCAGCCCCAGACUCAGUACCAUCUGACCAGGGAUGUGGUCUCUUGUCAGUGGUCGCCACCAGGGUGCCAAAUAUAUAGUAGACACUCAAACACGUGUUGAAUGAAAGACUAUAUGAAUGAAUGGCGGAGGGGGUGUUGGGCAAAGGCUUGGAAGAGAAGGAAAAGCCUGGGAAAGAGGUAGGAAGGGAGCAAGGGUUGCUGAAGCUGUAUAGGAAGGCCAGCUGAGGGUAACAACAGGACCCUCUUCCCACCCCCAGAGUUAGACAACUCGCUCUCUCUGCAGACUGUCAUCCCACCUUGUUUAUUUAAUUUUCAGGUGUUCUUAAGAAGUCUCAAGUCAGUGGAUUUUCAUCCCCAGUUACAGAGGGAGAUUUGAUGCACCUGACUUGUGAAACAUCUGCAGCUCCCUAUUUCACAGCAUUUCAUUCCUAUGUGAGUGAAGAUGCAAAUGAAAAAAAAUAAGAUUCUUGACCUGGAGACAUUUAUCUCUUCAGGGGGAUAAAACAAUUUAGGGAGAACAUUUUCCUAUAAAGAGGAAUGCAUGACAUGGUGUACACCCCAAAGCGGUUAUUACAAAGGAAUAGUUUGUUUUCUGUAUACUUCAAGCAUUUGGCCUGCUCAGUAUAUGAACACUGAGCCAAAUUCCAGGCUCAGAUUACAGGGCCCUGACUCGGGUUUCCCGAAUGCACUGGCCUAGCUUGGAGGCUGAUACUGUGCCUGUUGCACGAGGUUGCUGGUGACGUUGAUGCUCCUGGCUUGGGGGUCAUGUAAACAGCUGUCUCUUAAAGGCCCACACCAGCCCCACCAGGGAGCCAGGCCUCUCUGGUCUCACUCUGCAGAUGAGGAUCAAGGCCAGAGCAGGGGGCAGAGGUGUCCCCCCCGCCACCUCACCUCCUGGGUUCCUGGUCAUGGGUGAGCAGGUGGGCUAGACUGCGGCUCCCACACUGGCUCGACAUUGGUUCAUGCACACAAAACCCCUUUCACUGGCUCGGCUUCUGCUGGGCGGCCCUCGCUGCUCCUGAGGUUUGGUUAACCCCGUUAAGAAAACAAACAGCUCCUGGGCUGUGGGCUGGUGGGGGAGCCACUGGGCACAGAGGCUGAAUUCUCUCUGGCCUCCCUCCGAGGGCGAGCCUAGGGGCCCAGCAACCUGGGGCAGGGGUUGUGCAGAGCUGGUCCUGGUCUGCUCCUCCAGGGGCUCUGGUCACCUGGGAAGCCUUGGACAAAGUCCAUGCCUCAGGGUCCUUAUCUGUACCACAGAGAGCUCUGCGUGGAGUAAAUGGUGUCAUGCUUCCAAUAAGCCACAGCCACAGCCUUGUGGGACCCGAGCUGAGUCUGCAACCACACCACAGCUCACGGCAACGCCAGAUCCUUAACCCUCUGAGCGGGGCCAGGGAAUGAACCCUCGUCCUCAUGGAUGCUAGUCGGGUUCCUUACUCCUGAACCACACCAGGAACUCCAAAUGCCAAAGCUGUGGGGUAUUGGCAACUACAUAUGGUUCAGCCCAUGUAAUGUUAGUGAUUCAUCUUUGAAACAGCAAAAACAAACUCUUCUAUUCCUCUUUUAGUAGCCUGCGGUUGCAAGUUUAGCUUAAAAAAACAAAAACAACAAAACAACAACAAAACCUAUUCAUUAUUCCAACUACUAACUCUGUGAUCAGGCUUUUCCUGAUUUUCUCAAUUAUUGUGCAACUAAAAAAGGGUGAGAGAAUGAAUUGGAAGCAGAAGUUGAUGUAAAUCAGCAACUAUCCUGUUAACAGCCUCAGAGUCCUUACUGCCUUAGGAAUAAGUACAUCUUACACAUUUGAAAUAAUAAAGUAACAAUUUUAUGUUG